GACGAACGCUGGCGGCGUGCCUAAUACAUGCAAGUCGAACGAGUGGCGGACGGGUGAGUAACACGUGGGUAACUACCCAUCAGAGGGGGAUAACUACUGGAAACGGUAGCUAAUACCGCAUACUAUCCGGUAACCCAUAUGGGAUUAGCUAGUAGGUGGGGGAAUGGCUCACCGAGGCGACGAUCCCUAGCUGGUCUGAGAGGAUGAUCAGCCACAUUGGGACUGAGACACGGCCCAGACUCCUACGGAGGCAGCAGUGGGGAAUAUUGCACAAUGGGCGCAAGCCUGAUGCAGCCAUGCCACGUGUAUGAAGAAGGCCCUAGGGGUGUAAAGUACUUUCAGUCGGGAGGCGUUACCGACAGAAGAAGCACCGGCUAACUCCGUGCCAGCAGCCGCGGUAAUUC
rnacentral:rRNA from 1 species